rfam:Cajanus cajan Scaffold135567_10, whole genome shotgun sequence.
UUGUUUGCAGGUGCAUCACCAUCAAGAUUCGCAUGCAAUUUACACUCCUGUAGGAGAUCUUUGACAAAGUUCCAGGGAGUGUUUUGAUUUGAGAAUCUUGAUGAUGCUGCAUCAGCAAUAAA